CAGAUUGAACGCUGGCGGCAGGCCUAACACAUGCAAGUCGAACGGAAACAUGUCUAGCUUGCUAGAUGAUGUCGAGUGGCGGACGGGUGAGUAAUACUUAGGAACAUGCCUUUGGGUGGGGGAUAACUAUUGGAAACGAUAGCUAAUACCGCAUAACGUCUACGGACCAAAGGAGGGGACUUUUCGGAGCCUUUCGCCAUUUGAUUAGCCCAAGUGAGAUUAGCUAGUAGGUGAGGUAAGAGCUCACCUAGGCGACGAUCUCUAGCUGGUUUGAGAGGAUGAUCAGCCACACUGGGACUGAGACACGGCCCAGACUCCUACGGGAGGCAGCAGUGGGGAAUAUUGCACAAUGGGCGCAAGCCUGAUGCAGCGACGCCGCGUGAGGGAUGACGGCCUUCGGGUUGUAAACCUCUUUCAGCAGGGGAGAAGCGAAAGUGACGGUACCUGCAGAAGAAGCGCCGGCUAACUACGUGCCAGCAGCCGCGGUAAUACG
rnacentral:rRNA from 11 species